AAUAGAUACCCAGGUAGUCCACGCCGUAAACGAUGAGUGCUAAGUGUUAGAGGGUUUCCGCCCUUUAGUGCUGCAGCUAACGCAUUAAGCACUCCGCCUGGGGAGUACGGUCGCAAGACUGAAACUCAAAGGAAUUGACGGGGGCCCGCACAAGCGGUGGAGCAUGUGGUUUAAUUCGAAGCAACGCGAAGAACCUUACCAGGUCUUGACCUCCUCUGACAACUCUAGAGAUAGAGCGUUCCCCUUCGGGGGACAGAGUGACAGGUGGUGCAUGGUUGUCGUCAGCUCGUGUCGUGAGAUGUUGGGUUAAGUCCCGCAACGAGCGCAACCCUUGAUCUUAGUUGCCAGCAUUUAGUUGGGCACUCUAAGGUGACUGCCGGUGACAAACCGGAGGAAGGUGGGGAUGACGUCAAAUCAUCAUGCCCCUUAUGACCUGGGCUACACACGUGCUACAAUGGAUGGUACAAAGGGCUGCAAGACCGCGAGGUCAAGCCAACCCCAUAAAAACCCAUUCUCAGUUCGGA
rnacentral:rRNA from 1 species